UGUACAAAGUCAGGCUUAUCCAGCCCCUCGGCUCGGGGAUUAAAUAGUCCGCUGGAGCCUUCGGAGUGAAUCGCACUCCCAGCGAGUGGCCUGGGGCUACGCGGCGGAGCAGGCCCCGAGGUCCUGGCUCUCGCCCUUACACCUAAUCCGCUUGAGGACCUGACUUCCUUGAGGGCCUUGGGAAUGGGCUAGCAACCAGCUCUGGCCAAGGAGAUACCUGCUCGCUGGCCUGAGCGCUGUGCCCGAGCCGCGCACGGCGUGCAGCUAAGCCCGCUCUCGGCACUACCUGCGCCCAGCCCAGCCCGCGUCUCCUCCGCCUGCCGCCCUGCACCGUGGUAGGAGGGGACGGGCUGAGCGCAGAAGAAAACAUCGUCUUUGACAAAUUAGAAAGUCAUUUUUUCCCUUCUAGGUCAGUAUCGAGGCAUUUGCAUCUACCUGCUCUCGUUUUAGUGGACUGUCUGAGGCGGAGAAGCCAGACGAGGGCUGUGGAGCUAUGGGAAAGCCGAGAUGCCCGAGACGCGGGAGCCGUGCGGCGCUGGGGGCAUGCCCUCCUCCGCAAAGGGCACGCUGCCGUACGGCAUUCACAUCUGCCCUCUGCCAAUUGACUCCUCCAGCUUAAUUUAGGGAAAUAAUACGGAAAAAACAAAACAGGAGGGAGCCCUCGAACACCAGCAAUAGAUACCCCAGCACACGUCUCAAAAACAACCGAGUCACUGCUGUUGGAGGAGCAGUCUUUUACGCCAUGCCAGGGGCUUGACGCAGUGGGCAAAACCUCAAGCACUGAAGAUAAGUCAUCGCCACCCAAGCGAUCCUCACUGACCGCAGGGAGCUGCAGCCCCGAGCGCAGCGACGGCUGGGGGGACCCGCCGUCCCCCCAAACCGGGAGAGCCCUUCGGCACGCGGGAUCUGCAAGGGCCCGUCCUCGUCUGCCCGCUUGAGACGGGCGCUGAAAUCCGGCACUUGCGCCGGGCAGCUCGCAGUCAGGUUUUCCUGCCUUUCGUGAAAGGCUUCGCAAUUCUUCACCCAAAGGUCGAAUGGGAUUUUUUUUUCCUUUUUUUAUGAUGCAAAGUUUUUCAGGACAGGAAAGCCAUUUCCUGUCCAGACCAGACACCGGCUUCCUGUAUGCUUUCAAGCAGAUCGUGUAAUCUUAUUCCCCGAUUUGUAAAAUGAAGAUGAUCAACUGCCUUUGUCUGUCCUGUCUAUUUAAACUUACACGCUGUAGUCCUCCGCGCUGGCACGUGACCAGGCAUAACUG